rnacentral:rRNA from 1 species
UACGUAGGGUGCAAGCGUUGCCCGGAUUUAUUGGGCGUAAAGGGCGCGUAGGCGGCUCGGCACGUCCGUUGUGAAAUCGCCCGGCUCAACUGGGCGGGGUCAGCGGAUACGGUGUGGCUCGAGCAAGCUAGGGGGCAAUGGAAUUCCCGGUGUAGUGGUGGAAUGCGUAGAUAUCGGGAGGAACACCAGUGGCGAAGGCGGUUGCCUGGAGCUUUGCUGACGCUGAGGCGCGAAAGCGUGGGGAGCGAUCCGG